rnacentral:piRNA from 1 species
GCAGGACACAUUGAUCA